rnacentral:rRNA from 1 species
AUUGAACGCUGGCGGCAGGCCUAACACAUGCAAGUCGAGCGGCAGCGGAAAGUAGCUUGCUACUUUGCCGGCGAGCGGCGGACGGGUGAGUAAUGUCUGGGGAUCUGCCUGAUGGAGGGGGAUAACUACUGGAAACGGUAGCUAAUACCGCAUAACGUCGCAAGACCAAAGCGGGGGACCUUCUGGCCUCGCGCCAUCAGAUGAACCCAGAUGGGAUUAGCUAGUAGGUGGGGUAAUGGCUCACCUAGGCGACGAUCCCUAUCUGGUCUGAGAGAAUGACCAGCCACACUGGAGCUGAGACACGGUCCAGAGUCCUACGGGAGGCAGCAGUGGGGAAUAUUGCACAAUGGGCGCAAGCCUGAUGCAGCCAUGCCGCGUGUAUGAAGAAGGCCUUCGGGUUGUAAAGUACUUUCAGCGAGGAGGAAGGCGGUAAGGUUAAUAACCUUACUGAUUGACGUUACUCGCAGAAGAAGCACCGGCUAACUCCGUG